rnacentral:rRNA from 1 species
GAUGAACGCUAGCGGCAGGCUUAAUACAUGCAAGUCGAGGGGCAGCACGGGUAGCAAUACUGGGUGGCGACCGGCGCACGGGUGCGUAACACGUAUGUAAUCUGCCCAUAACUGGGGGAUAGCCCGGAGAAAUCCGGAUUAAUACCCCAUAAUAUUAUUGGAAGGCAUCUUUUGAUAAUUAAAGCUCCGGCGGUUAUGGAUGAACAUGCGACUGAUUAGCUUGUUGGUGAGGUAACGGCUCACCAAGGCAACGAUCAGUAGGGGUACUGA